UCGAGCUCUUCCGAAUUUUCCUCGGGGGGGGCAACGCCAGGGCCAGGGUUAAAGCGCAUUCCCCAAAGUUACCAGGAAGGUCCCCCAUCCUCAUAUACUCCCUCUGAAAGAGACAAGAAGCCCCUAGGAGAGAGAUGCUCUUCCUGACGCAGGCUCUGGGAUGCUGCAGUGCUUGCUAGACUGAAAGCUCACCCCCUCGAGAGAACAGGUUUUUUAAUGGCGAUAUGGAAGAUGGGACUCAAAGAGUUUGUUUUUCUUUCUUUUUUUAUUUUUUUAAAUAUUCACCUUUUAUCACUUGCAAAAGGGCAGCUGAGGUUUUAAACUUGGGUUAUCUGCGAAACCAGGAUUUUUUUUAUUGUUUAGAUAUAGAUGUUUUGAACAACAAGGUUUACAAAUUAUGCUACCAUUAGAAACAAAAACGACAACCAAGAAGUCAAAAUCAUCUCGCUAAUAGAUUUGUAAAGAAGUUGAUUCCCAUGAGCAGCUACAGUCCAGGUCAAUGAUAACAGCAAGGGGCCCGAUUCUGCUUUCCUUGGUCAGAAAAUACGUCUGGAUCUACCCCUAGCUUUUUAUUUAUUGUUUUUAUUGUUGUUAAUAUCCCAGUCCGGGAUUUCCUCUUCACUGCUGCUCUUCUACCAGUUGGAGUUGCUGACCAUCCUGCUCCCAUCACGUUAUAUGUAAAAGCAAUACUAAUAAUUAAUAAUAACUCAUAAUAAUAAUAAGAAGAAGGCUGGUCUUUGAUGCUGAAUGUUUUCGGAUGAUUUUCAGAUUAGAAACACAGAAUAAAUGCUUAAGAGCCCCUUCUUGACUCUGCUCCCAGCAAGCAUCCUGUGGAUUCCUACAGGUGUAACCUGCCCCCUCUGCAAUGGUCCAUGCACAGAGCCAAUGACCGACCUAAGGGUACUUAGGAGAGAGUGGUCAGUAUUCCCCCUUACAAGUUCUUUUGCUGACCGUGGACUCAAACCCUGAGGCCCUAUCACUUAGGCUCCCCAAGCUCCCCCUGAAGUCUUACUUCUGCUGUCAUUUACAUCAGAAUAAAUCCUCAGUAACUCCACUGGAGUCAAACAAGUUAUUUUACUCCUAAGGAAAGUUUUGGCUGUGCAAAUUUGGAAGAUCGGGCAAUACAGUGUUUCUAUAAACUGACGGGGUUACAAAAAAACCCACAGAUACAUUUGUUGCACUAAAAAAACACCUCCAAGGGUUUAUAAUGCUUUUUUCAUAUACCCUCAAGUAAAUUAAAUCCUCCUUAAAUCUUCUCAAGUGCAACUAGAGACAGCAGCUAAUAUUAAUAUUACCAUUAAUUGAAAUGAUAACGGUGUCUGAGUUAUUGGGAGUUUUCCUUGAGCUUUUUACAUGUAUGAUUUAGGACUGCACUCAGAAGCAAUCAUUUCUCUGUGUACAACUUACAGUACUGAUUCCGCGAUUCUUCACAUUUGCUGGAUGCCGUUAAUGCUGGGGUAUCAAUGGAUGUUGCAUAAAAAUCGUGUGGUCUAUGAUGUAUAUAUUGUUCAAGGUAGCGUCAUAUAUGUAUGUAUAUAUUGGAAUAUGCAUAUGUAUGUAUAUGUCAAUGGAUACAUGCUAUGUAUAUGUCUGGUGUGUGUGUCAUAUAGACACAGACUAUAUAUAUGAGCGGACUGGAUUUACCCUAUUUGAUAUUAAUUAUUAUUAUUUCUAUUAGUACUACUAAUAAUUAUUAUUUUAUUAUUAUUAUUAUACUUUAGGGUGGGAAAAACUGUAAGAAUUAUUCCCAGGCAAAAAUAUUGCUAUGUAGAUUUCAUAUGAUCUUUCUAAUUCCACGUUUUAUAUUCUAUGACUUCUUGCCAGCAUCUCAGUAUGUUCCUGUUUAGAUAUACUAAGCUCCUUGAAAUUAAUUAACCUGUGGUCAGCCAAAAAAAAAAAAAAAAAGUAAUACUGGUUAAGCUAUAUUCCUUUACAACGUUUGGUCACAGUUAGUUACAGAAUUUUCCAGCUGUGAAGAUGAUGUACACUAUUUACUGUAAUUGAAUUGCUGUUUUAACACCUUUCAAGAGGAAAAGCGAUACACGCCAAAAGUUUAACUGACGCUGGGGUCUUAUCUGGAAUAAAAACUUCACUUGAGUCAUCACA